rnacentral:rRNA from 1 species
UACAGAGGUCUCAAGCGUUGUUCGGAUUCAUUGGGCGUAAAGGGUGCGUAGGCGGCGCGGUAAGUCGGGUGUGAAAUCUCGGGGCUUAACCCUGGAAAGCCGGUGGAUACUGUCGGGCUCGAGUCCGGAAGAGGCGAGUGGAAUUCCUGGUGUAGCGGUGGAAUGCGCAGAUAUCAGGAGGAACACCAAUGGCGAAGGCAGCUCGCUGGGACGGUACUGACGCUGAGGCGCGAAAGCGUGGGGAGCAAACAGG